rnacentral:misc_RNA from 1 species
ACGGACGAAGGUGAUUACAAUAUAAAAUUAAGGAACUUAACAAAUUUCCUGAAUGAAGGGGAUAAGGUUAAAGUAACCUUACGUUUCCGAGGGCGUGAAAUGACGCAUCAGGAAUUUGGUAUGCGUUUACUGGAGCGUGUAAAAAGCGAUUUGGAAUCAUUUGCAGUAGUGGAACAAUUCCCUAAAAUGGAAGGGCGGCAAAUGGUUAUGGUGCUGUCACCUAGAAAGAAAGAUGCAAAAGCUGAUAAAUCUAAAGCAGUAGCGGAAAACUCAACUGUAACAUCAUAAAUUUCUGUCAUAGUCACCUAUUUGAAUAAUAAGUGA